rnacentral:lncRNA from 1 species
UUAUUUAGCAAAUAAAUAAAAAACUUGUACUGCCAUGUAGCGAUUUCGAUAGACGACGCCUUCAAGGGAGGAGGAGUCUACAACAUAUUGAAUUUAUCGAUCGAUUGUUAGGCCGAUUUCGAUCAGCAUUGUAUAGUUAAUGAAUGACAACUUGACGAGAUCUUGACACGCACGUUGGAAGUGUACGCGUGUUUGCACCUCGAUGAGCGUUGCACAAUAACAAAGCUCCGUUGCUAGGUGAAGUCCUUGAGUGCCUCAAGAAGGAAUCGCCGAGCAUCGUCAUACAGCAGUAUUUUUUCCUUCAACAAUUAAUCUUGCAUCUCCAACCGUGGAAUGAGUUACAUGUGACUCGAGACAAACAAACAGUGCAAUUGCAACAAUAUAAUUAGUCAGCGGUAAA